rnacentral:tRNA from 1 species
GCGGGAGUGGUGAAACCGGUAGACACGCAGGAUUUAGGUUCCUGUGCCGAAAGGCGUGUGGGUUCGAGUCCCACCUUCCGCACC